rnacentral:rRNA from 1 species
GUACGGAGCAAGCGUUGUCCGGAAUCAUUGGGCGUAAAGCGCGCGUAGGUGGCUCCGUAAGUCCGUUGUGAAAGUCAAAGGCUCAACCUUUGAAAGCCGAUGGAUACUGUGGAGCUAGAGUACGGAAGAGGCGAGUGGAAUUCCUGGUGUAGCGGUGGAAUGCGCAGAUAUCAGGGGGAACACCAAUAGCGAAGGCAGCUCGCUGGGACGUUACUGACACUGAGGCGCGAAAGCGUGGGGAGCGAACAGGAUUAGAUACCCUGGUAGUCCACGCCGUAAACGAUGGGUACUASGUGUGGGAGGUGUCGACUCCUCCCGUGCCGUCGCUAACGCACUAAGUACCCCGCCUGGGGAGUACGGCCGCGAGGCUA